UCGCUUCAGCAGCACAUAUGCUAGAAUUGGAACGACAGAGAGCAGAUUAGUCUGGCCCUGCACAAGGAUGAUACGCAAAUUCAUGAGGCAUUCCAUAUUUUU